UACGUAGGGUGCGAGCGUUAAUCGGAAUUACUGGGCGUAAAGCGUGCGCAGGCGGUUUUGUAAGACAGGGCGUGAAAUCCCCGGGCUCAACCUGGGAAUGGCGCUUGUGACUGCAAAGCUGGAGUGCGGCAGAGGGGGAUGGAAUUCUGCGUGUAGCAGUGAAUGCGUAGAUAUGACGGAGGAACACCGAUGGCGAAGGCAAUCCCCUGGGCCUGCACUGACGCUCAUGCACGAAAGCGUGGGGAGCAAACAGG
rnacentral:rRNA from 1 species